UAGAGAGGAGACAUAUAGAGAGAGAAGGGGAGGUUGGUCUCCCCAGAGCCAAAGCCCAGCCCAAAGCCUUUGUUUGAUUUUUUGCAGUGAGAAUUCAAAGGAUUUUUCGCAACAAGAUGGCCAAGAAUUCAACUGAAGUUACUCUUCACACACAACAUACAGGUGAAGAAAGCAAAAUAAAGAGAAAGAAAGAAUUGAAGAAAAACACAUACGAGCUAAUAGAGUUAUUCUCUCUACUCAUCCAAUAAAAAGUGGAGUGUUUUUUAGUCUAAGAAAAGAAAGAAAGGAAAAAAGGAAGAGUGGAUUUGCAUCAUCUUAGUGAGGAAAUUGCUACUCCUUUUGGGGGUUUGCAUCUAAAGAUAUGCUGGAAGACCGGGCUUGUUGGGUGUCGAGGGACUAUUCACGUAGUUGUGAGCGAAAAGGCAGGUGGCCUUACGUGAAUUUGGGGUUGGAGAAUGCCGGUAUUCUGCAGAUGAAGCGGCCAUUAGAGGGUAUAAAUAGAGGUGAAGAUAUUGAAAUUUGUGUCAGAAAGGUGCCUAAGCGACCCGUUGAUCAAAUGGAUACCGUUUCUCCAAUCGGUGGCAUAGUAAAUGCGGCCUUGGCCCAAUCCGCCAUGCAGUCUAGGAGUAGGCGGCACGCGGGUGAAAAUUCUAAUACGACUUCGUUAAUUGGUGGCAUUGGUUGCGACCUCUCCAUUAGUUGUCUGAUCAAGUGCUCUAGAGCUGAUUAUGGGGCGAUUGCAUCCUUGAAUCGGAGCUUCCAGUCUCUUAUUAGGACCGGGGAGCUGUACAGAUUGAGACGGCAAAAUAAGGUGGCCGAGCAUUGGGUCUACCUGUCGUGCCAACUGUUGGAAUGGGAGGCGUUCGACCCUAGCCGUCGCAGGUGGAUGCGCUUGCCAAGAAUGAACCCUGACGAUUGUUUCGUGUUUGCAGAUAAGGAAUCCCUCGCGGUUGGAACUGAGCUUCUUGUUUUUGGUAGGGAUCUCAUGUCCCACGUGAUUUACCGUUACAGCUUGCUAACCAACACAUGGACUAAGGGGAUGAGGAUGAAUGCGCCCCGGUGUUUGUUCGGGUCUGCAAGCCUCGGGGAGAUCGCCAUCUUGGCCGGCGGUUGUGACUUAAACGGCAGCAUUCUUAGCUCGGUAGAGCUCUACAACUCCGAGUCGGGGACAUGGACGACACUCCCGAGCAUGAAAAAAUCAAGGAAGAUGUGCUCCGCCGUGUUCCUCGACGGGAAAUUUUACGUCGUCGGAGGGAUUGGAGGGGCCGACAACGUGCUUCUCACGUGCGGAGAGGAGUACAACUUGGAUACUCAAACUUGGACUGAAAUACCUAACAUGUCCCCGGUGCGUACUGGUGCAGCACGGGACAACGAGCCACCUGCUACAUCCGAGGCACCCCCGUUGAUCGCUGUCGUAAAUAAUCAGCUAUACGCUGCGGACUAUGCGGAUAUGGAGAUUCGGAGCUACGAGAAAGAUAACAGGGUGUGGGUGAUGGUAGGGAGGUUGCCCGAACGCGCUGAUUCAAUGUACGGCUGGGGUUUGGCGUUUAGGGCAUGCGGUGAUCGGCUCAUGGUUAUUGGGGGGCCUCGUAAUGCCGGUGAAGGAUUCAUCGAGGUCAAUUCGUGGGUCCCGAGCGAAGGUCCGCCGCAGUGGCAUUUGCUUGAUAGAAAGAGGUCUGGCAAUUUUGUGUAUAAUUGUGCUGUGAUGGGCUGCUGAUUGGUUACAACAAACUCCUACCGGUUCCUGCAGAACGGCAUUGCAUCCAUGGCUAAUGGGUGUGCAGAUAUUUGCAUCAAUCAUUUGUGGAGAAGAGAGAUGGCGUGAAUAAGAAGAAAACUUCAUUUAUGUAUAGUAAUUAGUAUAUAUGUAUUGUGUGUUAUGAAAUCAUUUAAUUCAUAAUUAGUGCGGAAGAAUGGUGGGUGAAGUAAUAGAAAGGAAACUCUACGAUUCAACAUCAAAGGGGGAUGUAACAACACUUGUACACCUACUUCAAGAAGAUCCAUAUCUUGUUCACGGAGUCUCAUUUCCUUGUUCAAGAAAUCUUCUACACAUAGCGGCAAUGCAUGGACAAACAGCUAUUGUUGAUGAAGUGUUGAAGCUUAAUCCGAGGUUAGCGCAGAUUUCAGACACCCAAAAGUCGUCGCCUCUUCACAUUGCAGCAGAAGAAGGGCACAUCGAGAUAUGCCAAAAGUUGUUAUCAGUAUCCCCCGAGGCUUGCUGGUGGCGAGACUGUCAUGAUAUGAACCCUCUUCAUGUUACAGUCAUGAAAGGCCAUGUUGAGAUCGUACUUCUUCUUCUUCAAGUGUCUAUUUCUCCUGCGAUGGAGAAGCUGCGUUGGGGAGAGACCGUGUUACACUUGUGUGUAAAACACGGCCAGCAUACAGUGUUGAAGGUUUUGGUGGAGAGGCUGGGAACGGAGCUUGUGUAUGCAGCUGAUGAGAAUGGGGAGACAAUAGUGCAUUUUGCUGUGAGGUGCAAUCAACUUGAGGUAAGCACCAACUCCAUCUUAUGUGAGGUGCAAUCAACUUGAGGUAAGCACCAACUCCAUCUUAUGAUCUUAUCCCCUCCGGUCCUCAUUAAAUGUCCAAUAUUUUUUUAUU